GACGAACGCUGGCGGCAGGCUUAACACAUGCAAGUCGAGCGCCCCGCAAGGGGAGCGGCAGACGGGUGAGUAACGCGUGGGAAUCUACCGUACCCUACGGAACAACAGUUGGAAACGACUGCUAAUACCGUAUACGCCCUACGGGGGAAAGAUUUAUCGGGGUAUGAUGAGCCCGCGUUGGAUUAGCUAGUUGGUGGGGU
rnacentral:rRNA from 1 species